GUCAGCUAUGCCUUCUGUCCAGCUUCUCUGGCAUUAAAUUUGAAAUUCACCUUAAAUACUCACUUUAGUAAAUAACCCUGUAAGUUAAAAUUGCUAACACUGCAAGAAGUCAACCCACUUCAUUUGAUAAUAUACAGGUGCAGGUCUUUAAUGAUCUAUCCCAAGCAACACUAGACAGAAGAAGGCAGCCUAAGCUAGUCACCCAAAUCCGUGUUUCAAAUAAUACAGAUGGGGUGUCAGCUUUAACCCCUUAAGGAUAUAUGUGUGACAUGUCAUGAUUCCCUUUUAUUCCAGAUGUUUGGGCCUUAAUGGGUUAAAUUACUUGUUAAGAAGAAUAGCAAGAUGUUGAGUUUCUCCUCCCUGGUGGACACUUGGACUCUACUCUGGUU